rnacentral:rRNA from 1 species
AGUAAUACAUCGGAACGUGCCCGAGAGUGGGGGAUAACGAGGCGAAAGCUUUGCUAAUACCGCAUACGAUCUCAGGAUGAAAGCAGGGGACCGCAAGGCCUUGCGCUCGCGGAGCGGCCGAUGGCAGAUUAGGUAGUUGGUGGGAUAAAAGCUUACCAAGCCGACGAUCUGUAGCUGGUCUGAGAGGACGACCAGCCACACUGGGACUGAGACACGGCCCAG